rnacentral:snRNA from 1 species
AUGCUCGCUUUGGCAGCACAUAUACUAAAAUUGGAAUUAUACAGAGAAGAUUAGCAUGGCCCCUGCUCAAAGAUGACAUGCAAAUUUGUGAAGCAUUCCAUAUUUUC